CCUACGGGGGGCAGCAGUGGGGAAUAUUGGGCAAUGGGCGCAAGCCUGACCCAGCAACGCCGCGUGAAGGAAGAAGGCUUUCGGGUUGUAAACUUCUUUUCUCAGGGACGAAGCAAGUGACGGUAUCUUAGGAAUAAGCCACGGCCAACUACGUGCCAGCAGCCGCGGUAAUACGUAGGUGGCAAGCGUUAUCCGGAUUUACUAGGUGUAAAGGGCGUGUAGGCGGGGACGCAAGUCAGAUGUGAAAACCACGGGCUCAACCUGUGGCCUGCAUUUGAAACUGUGUUUCUUGAGUACUGGAGAGG
rnacentral:rRNA from 1 species